rnacentral:rRNA from 1 species
GACGAACCGUGCAAACGUUAUUCGGAAUCACUGGGCUUAAAGCGCGUGUAGGCGGGUUGCCACGUCGGGCGCUGAAAUCCCCCGGCUCAACCGGGGAACGGGCACCGAUACGAGCGGCCUGGAGGGGAGUAGGGGGACCUGGAACUUCCGGUGGAGCGGUGAAAUGCGUUGAGAUCGGAAGGAACGCCCGUGGCGAAAGCGAGGUCCUGGGCUCUUACUGACGCUGAGACGCGAAAGCCAGGGGAGCAAACGGG